UACGUAGGGUGCGAGCGUUGUCCGGAAUUACUGGGCGUAAAGAGCUCGUAGGUGGUUUGUCGCGUUGUUCGUGAAAACUCACAGCUCAACUGUGGGUGUGCGGGCGAUACGGGCAGACUGGAGUACUGCAGGGGAGACUGGAAUUCCUGGUGUAGCGGUGGAAUGCGCAGAUAUCAGGAGGAACACCGGUGGCGAAGGCGGGUCUCUGGGCAGUAACUGACGCUGAGGAGCGAAAGCGUGGGGAGCGAACAGG
rnacentral:rRNA from 1 species